CUUUUUCUUUUUCUCUUUUCCUCUUCUUUGUUCUUUCUCUAUUUUUUUCGUUUCUUUCUCUCUUGCGAGCUCACACACGCGAAAUAAUAAACUCAUCGGCUACGAUAAGAUCGAAUAUUAACGUCACAGACGCACCUGAAAUAAUUCGAUCGGAGAAAGCGAACAUAUAUACUUGCAUAUCUUUCGAAUGAGUCCUUAAAAAAAAAAUUAUUGUGUGUGUGUGUGUGUGUGUGUGUGUGUGUGUGUGUGUUGUAUGAGAGAAAGAGAAAGAGAGGUCCGCUUCGCACGGUCGAGUAUGGUCGACAUUGGGAAAAAAAAUAAAAAGAAAUAAAAAGGAAAGAAGAUAGACACAGAAGAGUAGAGAGAGACAGAGAGAGAGACAGAGAGAGAAAAUGAGAGAGAGAGAGAGAGAGACGGACAUCCGUCUCUCGCGGCGGGAUUCCACGGACUCCAUCGAACGGAUGCCGCAGUGCGUUUCGUAUUUCGCGCGCGUUACGGUAAGCGAAAAAAAAAGGUUACAGAAUAAAAAAAGGAAAGAAAGAAGAAGAAAAAAAAAA